GACGAACGCUGGCGGCGUGCCUAAUACAUGCAAGUUGAGCGCUGAAGGUUGGUACUUGUACCAACUGGAUGAGCAGCGAACGGGUGAGUAACGCGUGGGGAAUCUGCCUUUGAGUGGGGGACAACAUUUGGAAACGAGUGCUAAUACCGCAUAAAAACUUUAAACACAAGUUUUAAGUUUGAAAGAUGCAAUUGCAUCACUCAAAGAUGAUCCCGCGUUGUAUUAGCUAGUUGGUGAGGUAAAGGCUCACCAAGGCGAUGAUACAUAGCCGACCUGAGAGGGUGAUCGGCCACAUUGGGACUGAGACACGGCCCAAACUCCUACGGGAGGCAGCAGUAGGGAAUCUUCGGCAAUGGACGAAAGUCUGACCGAGCAACGCCGCGUGAGUGAAGAAGGUUUUCGGAUCGUAAAACUCUGUUGGUAGAGAAGAACGUUGGUGAGAGUGGAAAGCUCAUCAAGUGACGGUAACUACCCAGAAAGGGACGGCUAACUACGUG
rnacentral:rRNA from 1 species